rnacentral:tRNA from 9 species
UGUCCGGUGGUGUAAUGGUAGCACUUCGGAUUCUGGUUCCGCCUGUGAGGGUUCGAAUCCUUCCCGGACAACAA